UACGUAGGUGGCGAGCGUUGUCCGGAAUUACUGGGCGUAAAGGAUGCGUAGGUGGAUAUUUAAGUGGGAUGUGAAAUCCCCGGGCUCAACCCGGGAACUGCAUUCCAAACUGGAUGUCUAGAGUGCAGGAGAGGAAAGCGGAAUUCCUAGUGUAGCGGUGAAAUGCGUAGAUAUUAGGAGGAACACCAGCGGCGAAGGCGGCUUUCUGGACUGUAACUGACACUGAGGCACGAAAGCGUGGGUAGCAAACAGG
rnacentral:rRNA from 1 species